rnacentral:misc_RNA from 1 species
AAGUCGUAACAAGGUUUCCGUAGGUGAACCUGCGGAAGGAUCAUUAUUACGUAUCCAACGUAUCAAAACCAAAUUGUGAACUGUUUCCCAUUGGGUGAGGAUUUCUGCGAGAUUUCGUCGCCGGAUUGUUUGACAAAAAAUGCAUAGUUUAGAAGGGUUUCACGACUCUUGAAACUAACAAUCCAAUUUGACGUAUCUCGGUCCUAUGAGUCUGAAUUGAUUCAUAGCUCAUCUGAUGUGGUUUUUAAACUUAUUCUUUAUCUAUCUAUGCUAAUUACAUUAACCCCUUGUAAACAAAUUGAACUAACUUACCGAGUCGAAACGGACUUAACUGUCCGUUUUAACUCCGGAUAAAACCGAAACUUAAGAACAACUCUUAACAACGGAUAUCUUGGUUCUC